CAGAAAUAGGUUGGUAACUGACUCAUGUUAGAAAAUAUAACAUUUAAAAAUAGAGAUGAUCACAUGCUGUGGGUGAUCCCAUGGAAUGGGGCUUCAGGUGGAGGUAGAAUUUAAACCGUGUUUUCUGCUCUCCUGUCACAGCACUGCUAUUAUUUGUGUUUCCCACACAGAAUCACAGCUUUUUGCACCUCCUCAAUGUGACUUACCAUAUUUAGGAACUGAGGCAAUCUGAAACCUUUUGAGAUAUGGUGGCCAGAAUUAAAUGGAAUACUCAGAUUCUCAAUGCACGUUUAAAGGCUGAAACAUCCACAGCAGCACUGCAAAGAUGGCAGUAAUGCCUUUGCGGAAUGCAUUGAUGUAUACAAGUAGUGAGAAGGAAAUGGUGCAAAAGCAAAUAAAGUGGAAGAGAACAAGUGAGUGUGAAAGAAGAGCAACUCCAUGCUAUUGGCUGUACUCAGCAGGACUGAUGAGGGCAGCUGUAGGCUUUGUUUUGGUCAUUCACCCAGGAUAUGAGAGACCUGAUGCAAUUGUUUUUUCUGCCUCAAACCUUGAUGAAUUUCAGAUACAUUUCUCCAGCCUCCAGAAAAGUCUCUUUACCAGGUAAUAUGCCCUUCAUG
rnacentral:lncRNA from 1 species